ACGAGACUUACAGGUUGACAUGUAAGUGGUAGUGAUCUGAAAGUGAACGACCUUCGGGAGCUUACACAGGUGCUGCAUGGCUGUCGUCAGCUCGUGUCGUGAGAUGUCGGUUAAGUCCGCUAACGAGCGCAACCCUCACUGUGUGUUAUGCGUGUCACACGGGACUGCCGGUUUUAAGCCGGAGGAAGGCGAGGAUGACGUCAAGUCAGCAUGGCCUUUAUAUCCUGGGCUACACACACGCUACAAUGGGAAGGGACAAUAGGUUGCGAAGCCGCGAGGCGGAGCCAAUCCAGCAAAACUUCCCUCAGUUCAGAUUGCAGGCUGCAACUCGCCUGCAUGAAGUUGGAGUUGCUAGUAAACGCAGGUCAGCCAUACUGCGUUGAAUACGUUCCCGGGGCUU
rnacentral:rRNA from 1 species